UUAAUAUGGAGAGUUUGAUCCUGGCUCAGAGUGAACGCUGGCGGCGUGCCUAAUACAUGCAA
rnacentral:rRNA from 1 species